rnacentral:lncRNA from 1 species
CUGUGCUCAUGUGUGGCAGCUCUGGAAUGAACUAUGAAAUCCAUCUACAGCACACUUAACAAACAGUGAUAUUUGCAUCUGGAUAUCAAAGCGAGCUGUUUGCUGGAGUUCAAAGGCAGCUUUGCAAGCAUUAAAUCUGAUAGGCUCAGGGUGGCAUCUCUGGGUUAGAUCUUCAUCUAAAAAGGGUAGAGGCUUGUAGUCUUGAUCCUGCAUAUUUCUCACUGCAUUUUCCCAAAGUUGCGAAGUCUACAGCCUUGCCUACCCUUUCCAUGCAAAGGUGGAAGCAGCUCACAAGGAACAUAGCAACAUCUACAUGCAGGAAGCAGCUAAGGACUGAGAUUUUUGCAGAGAUGUGCAUAUGGUGAUAUUUGAAAGUCUUGAAACUUCUUGCCUCAACUGGAAGAGAACAGAAACAAAUAGAAAAAUAAAGAUGGAAAAUGAACACACACCUAAUGUGCCUCAGCUCUCAUCCAGCUGAGAAGUCAAGCACCGUGGGAUUUAUUUUACCGACUGCAAGAAGAAAACAACACCCAGACCCUGCAUGUGUGGGCUGAAUGUUUC